AAGUGGCCAGCAGGUGUCCGUGGGCGGUCACCAGGGAGGCCUCCUGGGAGUGUGGUGGGCCUCAGCUCUCAGAGGUGUCACAGAGCCCAGCCCUGCACCCCCACACGGACGUGGACCGGCUUCACGGAACGACAUAAAUCUCGAGAGGCACACUGGUAGCGAGUGUAGGAGAGGCUGCUUUAGUGACGCAAGCCCGUGCCACACCCAUCGAACGUGAAGAAUGACGAGCAUCAACGGAGGUCAUCCACUCUCGGUUUUCUAAAUAAAAAUGUUAAGGUCUGUUUAAACUUGGGCACGAACCACAGUUCCCUUUGGGGUAAAUGGUGCCAGAAGAGCAAGGCCCCAGGGGUGACGCUGACUCCACCACCCCACGGGGGACGGACAGGCAAGCACGCUCACCCAUCAGCUGGGGAGUGACAGCAUCUGGAGCUUUCUCACCCCGAGACUGUGCUGCUCUGCCUUCUGUUCCAUGUCAGUGUGGCCGGUGCGCCCAGCGAUUCGGUCAAACGCUCCUGUGUCACGGGAAGGCACUCGGCAGGUGGCUAACACCUGCAUCCGGCUCUCCCGGGCUAGAGCACGCUACCUGGAUGAUGUGCAUGGGCUUCGGCCCAUCAGCUGGACGCCCGAAGAGCCAACGCAAAGGGCUCCCUCCCUCCGGGGGAAGAAAUUCAGCCUCCGGCCCACCCCGCACACUUCAGACCAUCAGACCCCAUAAUCGCCUGAGCACCCCUUGGUUCUGUUUCCCUGGAGGACCCUGGCUAAGACAAUAACCAACAGUUUGGUACGUCCCCGUUGCCUCUGGGCCCCCAGAAUCGGCCACCUCUGCUGAUAGGGAAGUUUGCGCAGCCUGAGCAAGAGGAGCUGGAGCGGUGUGGGCUUUAUAAAGCCCAGCUCCUUUAUUCCAGACCACGUCCGGCCACUCCAACAGGCAGGAGCGAGACUCAGACUUCGCCUGCAAUCUUAAAGACUCCUUAAGACCCUAACAGACGUGAGUGGCUCACCGAGGAUCCAUCUCAGCCUCUGAGAGGUAGGAAGGAAGGAGCAAAAGUCCCCUCGCACAUCGGAGGUUGCUGCCCUCGAACAGCUUGUGAACUCCAGCUAAACCAGAGCGAGCCCGUCUGCAAAAUACACCUAACACAGACCUUGCCGUCCUAACCAUCUCGGAACACACGGUCACGUGGAGUACGUUCCCGUUGCCCGGCAACCAUGCGGACCCUCAGUGAAGCUAAAAAUAAACCCGAAUCUGGGGAAUAGAUUUCCUGCAUUGGCUGCAGCAUUUCCAACCAGCGAAACCCCAGGAGAACCGUAACCACGCGGGCAGUCUUGGGGACCCGUGCAAACUCCCUGCUGGGACGCAAGGUGCAGGUGGGUGGUUCUGGAGCCAGAAAACGAGCCUCGGUUUAAAAACGAGAGCGCGCUCCCUUGAUCCCCAGCGUAGAACUGUUGCUGGAGCACAUUUACCCUCUGGCACCCGUAACACAUCAUCGUCUGAGGUUCCAACAACAUCUCGUGGAGAUGCAGUGUCCAAAUCGCUCAGAAAACACUGGAAGGGGGAAGCAAGUUGGAAAACACUGCCAGAUACGCCCCUUUAUGAAUUCUCGGUCUGGGGCAGCCCCGAUGGCCCAGCGGUUUGGCACCUGCCUUCAGCCCAGGGCGUGAUCCUGGAGACCCGGGAUCGAGUCCGGCGUUGGGCUCCCUGCAUGGAGCCUGCUUCUCCCUCUGCCUGUGACUCUGCCUCUCUCUCUGUCUUUCAUGAAUAAAUAAUAAAAUCUUAAAAAGAAAAAAAUUCUCGGUCUGUGCAGCAGUGCCAUCGGGGUGGACGUCCAGCGCGGUCCCUGUGCCCCAGCACAACUGGAGGCAGCCCCAGCGCACCUGUCAGCACCUCGGUCCCCAAGAGUGCCCUUUUGGAAGGGUCCCAUUCGGGAAAGGAGAAGCGUGGCCAUGGCACAGCAAGGAUGGACGCCCAUGGGAAAGAACUCUCCAGAAGGAAAAGCAGAGGAAGCAACAGAUGAGGGAAGGGUGCUCUCUGGAUGGACUUGGGGUCAGCGAGGCAGGGCCUCUCAGAGUGAACGCAGGAGGGGGGUGUGGGGGAGGGGACUGGGGUUCAUGAGAAGAGGCAGCGGACUGUUGGCCAUCGGGAGGAGGAAGGGAGAGGAGGGGGCACGCCGCCCUGCACCCCGUCUUCUACCCUGCCCAGCGCACACACUGCCUUCCAUGGGGCGGUGCUGGCCCUGAGACUGGGGGCGGGGGGCGCCCUGUGGACCCACAGCCAGGCCGCCUUUCCCAUCACCCGGGCUGCGCCUUCUGUACGGGAGCGAGGGAGUCCCCCCGGCCGGGGCCAGCAGGCAGACGGGGCCCGAGGUCCCAUCUCCAUCACGCGUCCUGGAAAUCGUGCCCUCUCCCUCUCUCUUUCCUCCUCCUGGCUUCCAGCGGGUCCCCAUCUGUGCCUCCUCUGCUUCCACAUGGGUGUGGCUCACGGGGACACACAUGAAGCCGUCAGGUAAGGGGGGGUCAGGGACGAGCACAGGCCCCUACAGCAGGGCCCUCAGCUACGGGGCCACGGGCCACCGUGUGGCACACUGUGAGCCGGUGAGCUGCACCCCGGCCUCUACUGCCUGCUGCCAGCAGCACCCCACCCCCCAGCUGUGGCAGCUGAAGCUGUCCCAGGACACUGGCAGGGUCCCCUGGGUGACAUGGUAGGGGACGCAAUCACCCGGUUCCAGAACCACUGGG